rnacentral:lncRNA from 1 species
UAGCUUUCUAUUACCACUCCCAUGCCCACCGCCAUGUCGUGCUUCCAAAUUACACGCCUUUCGAGGCCCAUGAUCUGCUGAUGGUUCCAACUAACCGGCCCGAAUCGCAAAGGAGAACGAAGAUUCGGGGCACCCGCGGUAUGGGAUGGAGAGGGGAGAGAAAUGAAAGGAAGGCGAAGAAGGACGUGAAAAAAAGAUGGCAAAUUUCCCUUCAAGAUUGGUUCCAUAAUUUGGUAUAUAGUAGUACACUAGUAUUAAACUAUAAUGCCACAUUAAUCUUGAGCUGUGGAUAACAAGCAUGCAUCGUCCCAAAACGUCAAGUUUGCUUUAUAAAUUAGCUUUAGCUGUUCUUUCUUCUAAGCAAACAGAGAGCAUCAAUGUUAUCUUUUGCAGCCUAGUACUUGGCUCCUACUAAUCCAUCAUCACUGUCCUAUUGUGGCACUACUUUCGUAC